GACGAACGCUGGCGGCGUGCUUAACACAUGCAAGUCGAACGGAAAGGCCCUGCUUUUGUGGGGUGCUCGAGUGGCGAACGGGUGAGUAACACGUGAGUAACCUGCCCUUGACUUUGGGAUAACUUCAGGAAACUGGGGCUAAUACCGGAUAGGAGCUCCUGCUGCAUGGUGGGGGUUGGAAAGUUUCGGCGGUUGGGGAUGGACUCGCGGCUUAUCAGCUUGUUGGUGGGGUAGUGGCUUACCAAGGCUUUAACGGGUAGCCGGCCUGAGAGGGUGACCGGCCACAUUGGGACUGAGAUACAGCCCAGACUCCUACGGGAGGCAGCAGUGGGGAAUAUUGCACAAUGGGCGGAAGCCUGAUGCAGCAACGCCGCGUGCGGGAUGACGGCCUUCGGGUUGUAAACCGCUUUCGCCUGUGACGAAGCGUGAGUGACGGUAAUGGGUAAAGAAGCACCGGCUAACUACGUG
rnacentral:rRNA from 1 species